UACGGAGGGUGCGAGCGUUGUCCGGAAUCAUUGGGCGUAAAGGGCGCGUAGGUGGCGGGACAAGCGUGCGGUGAAAGCCUGGGGCUCAACCCCGGGUCGGCCGUGCGAACUGUUUUUGCUUGAGCACUGUAGAGGCAGGCGGAAUUCCGAGUGUAGAGGUGAAAUUCGUAGAUAUUCGGAAGAACACCAGUGGCGAAGGCGACUUACUGGACACAUAUUGACGCUGAGGUGCGAAAGCGUGGGGAGCAAACAGG
rnacentral:rRNA from 1 species